CGCCGAACUGGAGGGCGGUGCCGUGCCCGCCGGUGCCGGCCUGGGUCAGUUCGACGCUGCCUCCGGCGG
rnacentral:tRNA from 1 species